rnacentral:tRNA from 1 species
GUCCUUGUAGCUUAAAACAAAAGCAUGGCACUGAAGACGCCAAGACGGAUACCGCUCCCGAGGACA